AACGAACGCUGGCGGCAUGCCUAACACAUGCAAGUCGAACGAGACCUUCGGGUCUAGUGGCGCACGGGUGCGUAACGCGUGGGAACCUGCCCUUAGGUUCGGAAUAACUUCGCGAAAUUGGUGCUAAUACCGGAUAAUGUCUUCGGACCAAAGAUUUAUCGCCUUUGGAUGGGCCCGCGUUGGAUUAGCUAGUUGGUGGGGUAAAGGCCUACCAAGGCGACGAUCCAUAGCUGGUCUGAGAGGAUGAUCAGCCACACUGGGACUGAGACACGGCCCAGACUCCUACGGGAGGCAGCAGUGGGGAAUAUUGGACAAUGGGCGAAAGCCUGAUCCAGCAAUGCCGCGUGAGUGAUGAAGGCCUUAGGGUUGUAAAGCUCUUUUACCCGGGAUGAUAAUGACAGUACCGGGAGAAUAAGCUCCGGCUAACUCCGUG
rnacentral:rRNA from 1 species